CAGAAGUGGAGGUCUGACCUCUCUGUUUUGGGUACUUUUUUACUGAAUGGAAAGUUUUGUUCAGUCUUUUUUUUCCGCUUUCUUUUCUUCAUCUGGGUCCUGCCAGCCGUGAGCGUGGCCCAGAAUGCUGUCCCCUGCAUUAUGAAAUGAAAAGCGUUAUCUAAGGCCUCUCACACUCACCCCCACUCAACCAGACUCAGCAGGGACAGAAAUAUGUCACCUCAGACAUGACAAAUAUAAUAGGAUUUAUCAAAGGUUGCAGGUUAUUUCAGUAAUUACCAGAGGAAGUAAAGGGCGUUUGUGUGUUCACCGCAAAGGCAUCAUUGUUUUUUUUUCCAAUGGAGGUUUCUUUUUAUUUUUAGCCAAGUCAGGGCCACACUUGUACCAGAUUCAGAGGCUAGCUGGCAUUGUACAUUUGAACACCAUCAUGCUUUAUUCUUCUCUUAUAUAUUUCUUCUGUUGUUUUCCUGGUAAUGCAAACCCUCAACAGCAUUAACAAGGAAUGAUUCAUAGUCCAGAUUUUCGACUGUUUAAAGAAACAGCCAAAUUACUCUGAAUGCGUGUCUGUAUGUUUUCAAUGUAAAAAAAUUGUUUUCCCCUUUACUAGUGAAUCUUUACGUGGAGUAAUUGUUGUUUGGGUGUGUGUGUGUGUGUGUGUGUAUUGUGUGUGUGUGUGUGUGUGUGUGUGUGUGUAUUGUGUGUGUGUGUGUGUGUUUGUGUGUGUGUGUGCGUGUGCGUGUUUUUUUCAGGCUGCAGGGCGGCGCUCUCGCCAGGCAGAAGGGGAGGAGCUGGAGGGGGUGUGGUCUCCAUGGGGGGAGUGGGGGGAGUGUUCUCAGAGCUGUGGCAUGGGCGUGUCUGAGAGAAAGAGGCAGUGCUUACCUCCUCCACAAACCCCGCCUCAGACAUGGCCUGGUUCCGCCUACCUGCCCCCAGGUGUCCCAAACCACUCCCCUGUCAUCUCAGCCAUCCGCCCCUACCACCCCUCCGUCUACCCGGGGAACGAAGGGCCCCACUAUGGAGGGGGAGGCGUGGGCAACAGGCAGCCAUCGUACCCCCCUGCCCAGCCAACCAAUCCCAACCCUGGACUACCUCUCUACCGUAGUGAGCCGGGAGUGGGCGGGCCCAAUCAGCCCAGUCAUAUGGCUCCUUUCUAUCCGCCAGCCAAUCAGGAUACAGCAUCUCUUUACCAACCUUCGUCUUACCCGUCAUCAGGCUCUUCUCCAGCACUCAGUUACGGCCAAUCAGGGCGGCCAUCCAGGCGACAACCCAAUCACGGGCCAGGCAGGUCUGAAGGGGGCGGGAGCCGGAGGUCAGUGUCCAAUAACCGGGACUCUUUGUCAUUCAGGAGGUCCAAUUCCAACAUUCGCCCGGGGCAGUUUGGCUACGGCAGGGUGCCCUAUUCUCUGCCACUGCACCGGCCCAGUCGCCACACGCGCCACACCCGUCGCCAUGGCAAUGCCACCGUCACGCCGGCAUUGGAGUCUGAGAGGGAGGGGCUUUCCCUGAGUGACGAGUCUCGGGAGGGGCUGGAGAAGAGAGGAUCCGAAGGGGCUGUGAGGGGACACAGAGAGAGGAAUAAAGAGAGGAGGAGAAGAGAGGAGAAGGAGGAGGAGGAGGAGGAGGAGGAGGGAGGGAAGGAGAGAGCGGAUACGGCCUCAACGUCUGCAGCCCCGGCCAGAACCAGCCGACCGGACCGUCAGGACCGACCACACCGACCUGCCCGACCUGCCGUCAGAGAGGGGUCACGGAGGGCAGGCCCGAACACACACACCCGCUCAUACACACACACCACAGACACACACAGGCAUGCGGACUCCCACAGAGCCACUCACACUCUCACAGACACACACCAGCACAGGGACAGGCCUGGAGCUGGCCAACCUGUGUUGCCACCCCAGAGACACACACCUGGGCAGGUGCCCCCCGACAGACAGGUGAACCGCCGCCCCCGCCCCCCCUACGGCAUGCCGCUGCAUCAGCCCCCCCCCGCUCAGUCACCCGCCGACCCCCCCAGCCACCACCCCCACUCCAGCGCCUGGCAGUCCCCCCCACACGGCCACGGCAACAGGGAGAGAGGGGUCGCCGAGGGCAACUGGAGCCCCCAACUUCCCCCUGGCAACUACAAAUGCCCCGGCAAGGAAGUGGAGCACCGCAGGUGUGCUGGUGAGGUGAGAGAAAGCCCCUAUGUUCCUCCUGUUUCACACACACACACACACACACACACACACACACACACACACUGACGCGCCUAUUGAGACUACACCAGAGAUGACUUUAACUACCAUUUUCCCUCUUCCUUCCAACCGCUUUAGAAGCGGGUAGCCAUGUAGCGUCUCCUAGUAUUUAUAAAGCCAAUCAGGCUGAGCUGCUCAUCACUUUACAACUGAAACAAGCAUCAUCAGAAGCCCCAUGAGAAGUAAAGAGCAAUGGUUGUGUAGGGAUCAUCAGAAGCCCCAUGAGAAGUAAAGAGCAAUGGUAGUGUAGGGCGGGUUAACAUUGCUAGUGUAGGGCGGGUCUCAUUAAGGAUGAUUCAGGCUAGGCAGUGUGGUCUUCCCUUCUUCAGUUCAGUUGAUGAUGAAAGAAUAGCACAUGACUCAUCCGAGAGGGCGUUUCUCUCCUCUAGCGUUAGUGUUCAUUUCUCCAUGAACUCAAUUGAUGUCACUCUUCACAUCCUGUCACGGUUGCACCCACGAGAGCCCCUGUGGCCUCAUGAAAUCAAACUAGGGCAAACAGCAGAACAGCAGAGGCACCCUGAGAAAGAGUGGAGCACAUGACAGUGAAGGACUUGGCCAAUGCUUUUUGGUGAACUUCUUGAGCUAAUUGGCUGGUCAGUUAUGCAAGGCCUUGUAAAUGGUCAUAAAGAUGCAUAAGUAAAGUGAUUUAGGUUACACUAUAGAAGAAAUGGUGGACACACCUGGUUGUAUAUGGCAGCCCACAUGGCCGUACCUGUAGGAAGUGGGCUGGCCCAGAUGAGAGCCAGUGUCAGCUGCUAAAUUGUUUGUGAGAGACAUUACAGCACAAACACACUUUUACAUCCAUCUGAGCUGUACUCCUACGGCUAGUAAUAUGGACCGUAUGUGUGUGGGUAUGGGAAUAUAUGUGUGUAUGCGCGCAUGUGUUUGUGUGAGUGUGUGUGGUCUUACAGUCAGCUGUUGGGGCGUGAGAACAAGUUUAAACAUGAGCGCAGCAGCAGCUCAUUUCCUCACCACAUCAUGAAUUAGUCAAAAGCCGGUCUGAUCUGUG
rnacentral:lncRNA from 1 species